ACCAGCUGCCUGCAAUUACUGCAAGUUCAAAUCUCACUAGGCUCAAGGUUGACUCAGCCUUCCAUCCUUUCAAGAUAGCAAAAAACAGUCCAAGAUGAGAUAAGAAUCCUAAAGGCAAAAUUGAGAAGCAAAGUAGACUGUUUACUGAAAAUAGAAACAAACUAAAAAGAAGUAGCAGCAGAAGUAACAGAACUAGGUAUUGCUGAUGAAAAGGAAGUUAUUCAGACAGAAUGGUUUAGAUUUCCGUGAUGGCUGUGACUGUCAUUAAUCUUCAGCAUGUAUUCCUUCAUUUCUAAUCUAAUGAUUGGUAUUUAGGGCAGCUUUUUGCAAGCAAAGAAGCUUUUUGUACAGAAUGCUCAUCUCGCUCUAGGACAGUGAUGGCGAAUCUUUUAGACACCAAGUGCCCAAACUGCAUGCGCGCAUGCCCAAACUGUAAGGUGUGUGCGCUCACACAUGCACUCACAUGCGUGCAUUUGCAUCAGAGACCCGAAGACCAGCCAGCCACUGGGAGGUGCGGCAUCCCAACACUGGCAGCUCUGCAAGAGGAGAUAUAGCAGAAGAACCAAGAUUCAGGGAGGAGUUGGUAUAUAUACAGAGGAGGAGUGGUUAGAAGUAAGUAGGAG